rfam:Triticum aestivum genome assembly, contig: Triticum_aestivum_CS42_TGACv1_scaffold_030396_1BL
UAGCUACUCCCUCCAUCCGAAAAUACUUGUCAUUAAAAUGAAUGUAUCUAGAUGUAUUUUAAUUUUAGAUAUAUCCAUUUUCAUCUAUUUUGAUGACAAGUAAUUUCGGACGGAGGAGUAUUUG